GUUAAAAAUCCUUGACAACGUCGUAAUUCCUUUUGGUAGCCUUAAAUAGCCCCAACUAGACGACCAAUGUGUCUUUCCAAGGAAUAUUUUGACAAAUAUCCAAAGCUCGGAAAUAUAUUAAUGGCCCUAGCUAUUUAUUCUUUUUUGUUUGGAGUAUUCUGUUGCCAAUGCCUGGCGAAAACGUGUGGUAGGACCAUGUAAUACAGAUCAUGCAACUUCAUGGAAAGCUGUUUAAAAUCGAGAGAAAAAUGUUCAAGGUGUAAUGAAUGCAGAACGUGUUAUUAUCAACAAUGAAGAAUAGUUGGAGAUAUAUGACUUACAUGGAGUAAACUUAAUUUAUCACACAACACAUAAUAUAAACUAAAAUCAUUCCUCAUGCAACUACUUUGAUUUAUUCAUACAUAUUUCU